GGAUGUGAGGGAGAUCUGGCUGUGACAUCUGUCACCCCAUUGAUCACCAGGGUUGAUUCAGCUGAUCUGGUUGGUUAGUCGGGUGUCCCCUUCCUCCCUCACCACUCUAUGUGUGUCCUUCCUGAAGCUGUGCACUCAGUCAAAGAGGACAGCCUUCCCCAAAUAGAGACGGACUGGUCUUCAGUCAAAGGUAUAUGAGUAGCUGCGCUCCCCUGCUAGAACCUCCAAACAAGCUCUCAAGGAAAUAAAUAAUAAAGGUGGUCCAGGAGGUGGCACAGUGGCUAAGGCAUUAGACUCUUCAAAAAAAAAAAAAUAAUAAUAAUAAUAUUUAUUUAUUU
rnacentral:snRNA from 1 species